AUCAAGUACCUAAUCAACAUCUUAACGUUUGAUCACGUCACUCUAGCGCCGCUGUGGCCAGUUUUCGAACUAUAAUUAUUUUGUUUCAUUUUCCGGACACUUCACAUAGAAUAUAGAGAGUAUUGUAGAUUGCCUGUGGAUUUAGAGGUAUAAUAGAACUGAUGUAUAACGGAUUGUCCUUUUUCUACACUCCAUAUUUCAAUAUAUAAUAUGAAAAAAAUACAUAAAAAUAGGAUACAACUACAAAAAGCUACACAGGAGCAACAUAUCAUUCUUUUUAUUUAUCCCGGAUUAACAUAAAAUUUAAAUGUCUUAGGACAUAGGAAUAGCGUUCACAUCCAGAUGGCGGCUACCAGCGGGAUCACUCCAAAUUAAAACCACCUUGGUAUCUAUAUGUACAUUGGACAUUGUAUCUUGUUGAAAGCAGGGACGAGUUGCAUGUGAUUAAUAAAGAGUUUCAUAGAA